GGAUGAACGCUAGCUACAGGCUUAACACAUGCAAGUCGAGGGGAAACGACAUCGAAAGCUUGCUUUUGAUGGGCGUCGACCGGCGCACGGGUGAGUAACGCGUAUCCAACCUGCCCACCACUUGGGGAUAACCUUGCGAAAGUAAGACUAAUACCCAAUGACGUCUCUAGAGGACAUCUGAAAGGGAUUAAAGAUUUAUCGGUGAUGGAUGGGGAUGCGUCUGAUUAGCUUGUUGGCGGGGUAACGGCCCACCAAGGCGACGAUCAGUAGGGGUUCUGAGAGGAAGGUCCCCCACAUUGGAACUGAGACACGGUCCAAACUCCUACGGGAGGCAGCAGUGAGGAAUAUUGGUCAAUGGGCGAGAGCCUGAACCAGCCAAGUAGCGUGCAGGAUGACGGCCCUAUGGGUUGUAAACUGCUUUUAUAAGGGAAUAAAGUGAGCCUCGUGAGGCUUUUUGCAUGUACCUUAUGAAUAAGGACCGGCUAAUUCCGUGCCAGCAGCCGCGGUAAUACGGAAGGUCCGGGCGUUAUCCGGAUUUAUUGGGUUUAAAGGGAGCGUAGGCCGGAGAUUAAGCGUGUUGUGAAAUGUAGACGCUCAACGUCUGCACUGCAGCGCGAACUGGUUUCCUUGAGUACGCACAAAGUGGGCGGAAUUCGUGGUGUAGCGGUGAAAUGCUUAGAUAUCACGAAGAACUCCGAUUGCGAAGGCAGCUCACUGGAGCGCAACUGACGCUGAAGCUCGAAAGUGCGGGUAUCGAACAGGAUUAGAUACCCUGGUAGUCCGCACGGUAAACGAUGGAUGCCCGCUGUUGGUCUGAAUAGGUCAGCGGCCAAGCGAAAGCAUUAAGCAUCCCACCUGGGGAGUACGCCGGCAACGGUGAAACUCAAAGGAAUUGACGGAAGG
rnacentral:rRNA from 1 species